GGAGCUACAUCAAUUGAUACCAUCUGACCAUAUGGACCAAAGAGAUUAAGUAGCUUGCUUGAGAAGUCUGUGGUACAUCUGGGGAAAGAACCAAGAGCUCCUAACAUAUAAUCCAGUGUCUUAAUUACAAGAUCAUCCUUCCCCUCCAAAACAUUUACGUUGCUGCAAGGACCCACUCCCUUGUUUCAGUAAAGAGCCUGUAACUUUGCAGAAGCUGGUGUUGAAGAGGAGUAUGCUUGGAAACCAUAAGGGCCCCCUGCAAACGUAAGAACAGACCAUAGCCACAAGUGAGACCUCGUGACUCUAGUUCUUCUGGAUGCUGUAGUGUUUCAACAAGAUACUUCAGCAGAGAGUGGUGGAGAAAAGAAGUGCAGUGGAAAGAAAGAAGAGUCAAUGGGAAGAAAAGGAAUUCUGCAGAUGUAGAAUUAAAGGCCAUUUCCCUCUUGUGAAGUUCCUAGUGGGCCACAUGUGCAUGGGAUCUUGAGAUGAAGAAAUCAAAGGAAACUGGUGAAAAGAAAACUAAUUUAAACUUAAUAUUAUCAACUAUACCUAUAUUAAAUUCAUUCAGGAUGUUGUAGUUGUCACAAACAUGGUUUGGGGUUGUGCUGGGGACACUGCAAUGGGAAGUGGUCGACAACAUUUCCCCCCCUCAUUAGAAGUGUGGCCCACACUGAAAGUAUGAACCACUGAUACAAUGGCUUUUCUCAGGGCUGGUUGAUAUUUUUCUGACCAAACUGUUUUUCAGCAAAAAAUUGGAUUUUUGACAGAGCACCUUUUUUUUUUUGGUUCAAAAAUCAAAUGCCUAAAAGCCUAGAUAUUCUGAAUGAAAAAAUUCCUAACUUUUGA